GGCGAGUGAAGCGGCAACAGCUCAAAUUUGAAAGCUAGCCUUCGGGUUCGCAUUGUAAUUUGUAGAGGAUGAUUUGGGGAAGCCGCCUGUCUAAGUUCCUUGGAACAGGACGUCAUAGAGGGUGAGAAUCCCGUAUGUGACAGGAAAUGGCACCCUAUGUAAAUCUCCUUCGACGAGUCGAGUUGUUUGGGAAUGCAGCUCUAAAUGGGAGGUAAAUUUCUUCUAAAGCUAAAUAUUGGCGAGAGACCGAUAGCGCACAAGUAGAGUGAUCGAAAGAUGAAAAGCACUUUGGAAAGAGAGUUAAAAAGCACGUGAAAUUGUUGAAAGGGAAGCGCUUGCAAUCAGACUUGUUUAAACUGUUCGGCCGGUCUUCUGACCGGUUUACUCAGUUUGGACAGGCCAGCAUCAGUUUCGGCGGCCGGAUAAAGGCUCUGGGAAUGUGGCCUCCACUUCGGUGGAGGUGUUAUAGCCCAGGGUGUAAUACGGCCAGCCGGGACUGAGGUCCGCGCUUCGGCUAGGAUGCUGGCGUAAUGGUUGUAAGCGACCCGUCUUGNANNACGG
rnacentral:rRNA from 1 species